rnacentral:rRNA from 1 species
AUACGGAGGGUGCAAGCGUUAAUCGGAAUUACUGGGCGUAAAGCGUACGUAGGCGGUUCGUUAAGUUAGAUGUGAAAGCCCCGGGCUUAACCUGGGAACUGCAUUUAAAACUGGCGAACUAGAGUUGAGUAGAGGGGAGUGGAAUUUCAGGUGUAGCGGUGAAAUGCGUAGAGAUCUGAAGGAACACCAGUGGCGAAGGCGACUCCCUGGACUCAAACUGACGCUGAGGUACGAAAGCGUGGGUAGCAAACGGGAUUAGAUACCCUAGUAGUCC